rnacentral:lncRNA from 1 species
AUGAACUGCUUGGCUGGGAUGAGGGAGGGUCCAAGCCUUGGGGUGGGCUGCUGCCCAAGUGCUUUCAUCAGAAGAAACCAAGGGUUUCUCUUCUCCCUGGCCGUGCCCUUCUUCACCCAUACGCUGAGAUUCCCAGACAAAAUUUCCCAGGAAUCAGAGUUCCUCUGCCUGGAGUUUGACGAGGCCAAGCUUCGUAAGCAACCUCCUCCUGAGCUAAAAUUAUGCUGAGGGCUUGUACCGAGAGAGAGAUGACAACAUCAGAUGUUCCUGUGCCAUAACUAAAGCCCUCCUCGUCGCUUCUCCUUGCGAAUUUAUUGCUUGUGGCGUCGCCAGAUUGCGCUUGGAAGUGAACUCCCUCUUCCAGAGCAAAGGGAAGGGCACCUUCUCCCAUCUGCCUGGUCAGAAGGGAAAGCAUGGCCAGAGCCAAUCUGUGUCACCGCGCUGGGAAGUGACAUCUCCUCUCCCUUGCCCGUCCCGAUGCCACCUCCUGGUCCUCUCCUCCGUCUGGCGGAGGGACCCCACAGCUCCUCGCUCUCCCCGUCUGCCUCCAGCCCAUCCGUGUCCGAGUGGCACCAGAGGGACCAUCACCACCCACCGAUCCUCACGCCGGUCCCCCGGUGGCUGUGACAUGUUGAGUGGUUGCUGAUUUCUCUGAGCUUUCCUCUCGCUUUUCCACCAAAGUUCCUUCAAGUGCUGUUCUGUGUUUGAGAGCCUGUCCAAAAAAAAAAAAAAAAAAACCCAAAAAAAAAAAAAAAAAAAGAGGAGCAGCCUCCCUGCUGCGUGGGCCAUUGUCUGUUGACCUGAACUUUAGCGUUGUGGAGCCUCACAAAAAAAAAAAAAAAAAAAACCCAAUAAAAAAAAUAAAAAUCAAGGUCA